rnacentral:rRNA from 1 species
GUACACGCUGUGACUAGCAUAUCAAUAAGCGGAGGAAAAGUACCUACGCUUAGGAUGUUGACGGGACUGUCGAUCUCAUCUAUACAUGACUCUGCGCAUAUCAAUAAGCGGAGGAAAAGAAACUAACAAGGAUUCCCUUAGUAACGGCGAGUGAAGCGGGAAGAGCUCAAAUUUGAAAUCUUCAAGGUUUUACCUCGACGAAUUGUAGUUUAAAGAAGUGUUUUCUGCUGAAGUUUUGGUAAAAGUUCUUUGGUAUAGGACAUCAUAGAGGGUGAGAAUCCCGUAUUUGACCAUUAUUUUCAGCUUUGUGAUACACUUUCAAAGAGUCGGAUUGUUUGGGAAUGCAGUCCAAAAUGGGUGGUAAAUUUCAUCUAAGGCUAAAUAUUGGCGAGAGACCGAUAGCGAACAAGUACCGUGAGGGAAAGAUGAAAAGAACUUUGAAAAGAGAGUUAAACAGUACGUGAAAUUGUCAAAAGGGAAGCGUUUGACACCAGUGUUGUUUUCUCGAAAAUCAAUUAAAAAUGGCUCGAUUUUGUAUUGUUGAGACCUUAAAAGCUCACUGUACAUUUUUCGUGUCUUUUUUAAUGCACUUUUCGUUUAACAAGUCAACAUCAGUUUCUUUUGUUGUAAAAGGGUCAUUGGAAGGUGGCUUUCUUUUCGGAGAAAGUGUUUAUAGCCUUUGGCCUCUGCAAUCGGAAGAGACUGAGGUCUGCAGCGUAGACUCUUCGGGGUUAGAUACAUUUGUGCUAAGUUAUAGCUUUUUAUAGACAACUUGUUGACUAUAAUUAGUCUUGUAGCUUACUCGCUUAUGCUAUUUUACCUACGCUUAGGAUGUUGAUCUACAGAGCGAGAGU